rnacentral:lncRNA from 1 species
AUCAUUACCCAAUGCAAAAUCAUCCAAACCCUCAUGUCCUCUGUCCUCUGAGUCCGACUCAAUAUCAACAACCCUCAAAUCACCCAUAAAAUAAUCAGCUCCUACGGAAUUAGUGGAUGUUAUGAUCUGAUGUGUGAUGGCAGUGGGUGUUAUGAUCUAAUGUGAUAUUUUGCUUGGGGUUUAAUGGUUUGGGGGGUUUUUGGUUUGGGGGUUUUUGGAUCUUGGAGGUUAGCUUUCCGGAAUCUGGGUUCGAACUUGUUUAUGGGUCUUGUGCCUUGCUUCUGCUGUUCCGUGUGCUUCCCGAUCUGGGUUCAUGUUUGAUUAUUGCAUAUCUUUGUUCAUGUUCAGAUCUAGUCUUUUGAGUUUUUAGUUCUUUCAGUCUAUGUUUUUCUGCAUUGCUGCUUAUUUAAUUUUACUUAGGCUGAUGGGUCUCUUUUCCUUGUUACCGUCCUUGCACUAUUCACCUGUAUUGUGGGUUUGUUGCUGGUUUGCAGGGCUUUCGCUAGAAAAUGGUAUGUGUUUAUUGACCUUUGGUCGGAAUUCAUGGGUAUUUUUUCUUCUGGUUGUUCCGUUCUGAUUCAUGAGCUUUCAUUAUUUUAGCUUUUCUGAUUGAAUCAAUUUGGGUGUUUUUGAUUGAAUUUUAUCUGCUCUGUCGUUGGCUGGUUCUACUACCAGAGGGUUGUGCUCGCGGG